CGAAGCCUGACGGAGCAAUACCGCGUGAGGGAAGAAGGCUUUUGGGUUGUAAACCUCUUUUGUCAGGGAAGAAGAAUUGACGGUACCUGAAGAAAAAGCAUCGGCUAACUCCGUGCCAGCAGCCGCGGUAAUACGGAGGAUGCAAGCGUUAUCCGGAAUCAUUGGGCGUAAAGGGUCCGCAGGUGGCGAAUAAAGUCUGCUGUUAAAGACCGGGGCUAAACUCCGGAAAGGCAGUGGAAACUGAUUAGCUAGAGUACGGUAGGGGUAGAGGGAAUUCCCAGUGUAGCGGUGAAAUGCGUAGAUAUUGGGAAGAACACCGGUGGCGAAAGCGCUCUACUAGGCCGAAACUGACACUGAGGGACGAAAGCUAGGGUAGCGAAAGGGAUUAGAUACCCCUGUAGUCUUAGCUGUAAACGAUGGAUACUAGGCGUAGCUUGUAUCGACCCGAGCUGUGCCGAAGCUAACGCGAUAAGUAUCCCGCCUGGGGAGUACGCACGCAAGUGUGAAACUCAAAGGAAUUGACGGGGGCCCGCACAAGCGGUGGAGUAUGUGGUUUAAUUCGAUGCAACGCGAAGAACCUUACCAGGGCUUGACAUGUCGCGAAUCUGGCGGAAACGUUAGAGUGCCUUAGGGAACGCGAACACAGGUGGUGCAUGGCUGUCGUCAGCUCGUGUCGUGAGAUGUUGGGUUAAGUCCCGCAACGAGCGCAACCCUCGUCCUUAGUUGCCAAUAUUAAGUUAGGCACUCUAGGGAGACUGCCGGGACAACUCGGAGGAAGGUGGGGAUGACGUCAAGUCAGCAUGCCCCUUACGUCCUGGGCGACACACGUACUACAAUGGUUGGGACAAAGGGCAGCAAGCUCGCGAGAGUAAGCGAACCUCAUCAAACCCAGCCACAGUUCAGAUUGCAGGCUGCAACUCGCCUGCAUGAAGUAGGAAUCGCUAGUAAUCGCAGGUCAGCAUACUGCGGUGAAUUCGUUCCCGGGCCUUGUACACACCGCCCGUCACACCAUGGAAGCUGGCUACGCCCGAAGUCGUUACCCUAACCCGGUUUUGGGAGGGGGAUGCCGAAGGUAGAGCUAGUGACUGGGGUGAAGUCGUAACAAGGUAGCCGUACCGGAAGGUGUGGCUGGAUCACCUCCUUU
rnacentral:rRNA from 1 species